AAUCCGCCAUCCUUUCGCCUUGCAGCUUCGACUUCCUCCGUCCCUCGUCCUCCCGCCUCGAUAUACAGUGAGCGUUUUGCCUGUUCCACCCCCUAUCUCUUGCGCUUCGACCCCGCAUCACGCACGUAGGCACGUCUCCGUCAUUGUGCUUAUACCCGCCAGCUCACGCCCAUACACACGUGCGCGCGUGCAUCCAUCGACAUUGAUCUAGAAUACGCCGCGGAGCCGAAUAUCUCUUUUUCUUUGGUUCUUCUGCGGCUCAUCACUUCUCGCUUCUCUCCACGUCGUGCCGCGCACGAAGCUUUCUCCUUCGUUUCGCUGGGAGCGAGCGCACCGUGCACCGUACGCGCCAAGCUGUGUACACUCGCACGAACGCCAGCAGCCAGUCCCUUGUAGGUGACGCAAGCGCGAAGGGCAAUAAGAAUAACCUAACGAAAAGGGCCCCGCCGUGAGUGACGAGGAACGUUGUCUGCCUGCCGCUGUGAGCGUUGAAGACGUACACCUGCGUAGGGAAGUGCCUUGAGUACUGUUAAUUAGCUGUAAGGCACCGCAAACCCUCGUCGGGUAUGGUAUCACGCAUAUUCUGUAGGUCUGCAUGUGCGAUUUCCGGCUGUCUCUCCCUCUGUCUCUGAGCGUGAGUUCCGUAAACUCGUUCUUGGCUGGCAUCGACCAUUCCUGAAAAGGGAAGUGCGCGCGAGGGUGCGCAUGCAAGUGUCUGUCCGCUAGAACGUAUGUACAUGCGUGACCUUGUCGACCGGCUUAGAUUGUUGUCGCUGUUGCUGUUUGCUUGGUGAUAUGUGAACACCGUGCCAUCGGCGAAGACAGAAAAGGGCACGGCAGCAUAACCGCGCUCCCAGGAAAGCAACGCAGACUUGUACGCGCGCACGCAGCGAUUAAGGAGUUUAUUACUGAGCGACACACACACACACACACACACACAUAUAGUUGCGAAUGCACUGUCCCCCUUCGUUAUUUCUUCGCUCUCUUUCUUCAUCGUCCGCGCUCGCGCACACAGACGCCCUGCAUCGUUGAUUGUGCUUGCCUGCAGCAGCUCACGCCGCACCCCUCCUUCUUCACUUGUUUUUUUUUCCUGUUGUUGCAUCUGCCUUGGGGCUAGCAGAGCCGCACCGGUGUAAGCCACCUUUUCUUGGCCUGUGUGGGUGUGUGCUGAACGAGUGUGCUCUUGCGUUGUGCGCGUUGCCAUCCGGACACUUCUCGUCGUCGUUGCCCGCUGCAUUCCAGUGCGCUUGCCUGCGCGCACACAAACGUUUUUUUCUGUGUCGCUCCCUUCGUACGCCGCUCGCUCUGUGUGUGUCUCUUCACAUCACCACUUCGUCUCUCUCUGUCUGUGUGGUGUUCGUUAACAUCCCCGUAGCGCCCCUCUUUUCUGCUGCUCUCGUGUGCUCGUUGCACCGGUGUGCGUGUGGUGGAUAGAGUCGCGUCGAGGAAACAGGUCUUUGGCUUGUGAGCGAGCGUGUUGUACCAGCGAAGGACGCCAUCAUCGCGCGUGCUUUCGUGGACGAGAGAGCGGGACGGCUCAUUCACUUCGAAGAAACAACAAAAAAAAACAGAGAACGGGACCUUGUGAGGCGCUCCUGCCCCGCUGCGCAUCCUCUUCCACUUCGGCGUCGUCCUUUUCCAUCUCAGCUUCAGGGUCUGAUCCCCUUCCCUGUCGCACACACACGCCCCGGAAGACGUUACAGCCAUGGAGGUGAACGCUACGCUGAUCGACUGCUGCGACCCGCAGAGGCCGUCGAGGGUGCUCUUUCACUUUCUCAUCCUCGACGCGCCGUCCCCAAGCAACCUCCCGACAUACAUCAAGGAGCUGCAGCACCGCGGCGUGCGGCACUUGGUGCGGGUAUGCGGCCCGACCUACGACGCCACCCUCGUCAAGAGCAGGGGCAUUGAGGUCCACAGCUGGCCAUUCGACGACGGCGCGCCGCCGACGCGCGCGGUCCUUGACAGCUGGCUGAAGCUGCUCGACACGGAGCUUGCGCGUCAGCAGGAGGACCCAUCCGUGCCCCCGCCGACCAUCGGCGUGCACUGCGUGGCGGGCCUGGGCCGCGCACCAAUCUUGGUGGCGCUGGCGCUGGUGGAGUACGGCAACGUAUCUGCACUAGACGCCAUCGCACUGAUCCGCGAGAAGCGCAGGGGUGCCAUCAAUCAGACACAGAUGCACUGGAUCACCAAGUACAAGCGUCGUCACCAGGGUGGGGGCUGCGUGAUCAUGUAGGCGCGAGCACGAAGGAGGGGGCGUACGGGAGCCAUGCCACUUCCACACACGCACAUACACACCUACCCGCAUAACGGCAUAAGGAGCCGCAUAAGAGGCGUAGGUUGGCGUGCGGUCGUGUCUGAUGGUCUCACCCAAAGCCAGAGCUUGUCUGUGCUCGGCGUCUGGCCCCCUCCCUCGUGCCUGUGCGGCGUAUGUGCUUCACCUUUCCUUAGUUGAUCUUCGUUUUUCGUUUUUCUUUUAUGCUUUGGAGUGUGCGCGCGCGCGUGUGUGUGCCUUCCCCUCCCCUCCCUCCUUUUUCUCUCUGGCUCGUGUGUGCGUGAAUGUGUGAGCGAGCACUGGGUUAUGAUGAUGAUGGCGAUGUGUGUGUGUGUGUGUGCUGUCCAUCAUGUGCAAGAGGGCCUCCAUCCCCCUCCCAUCACCGUUGUGGUGCCACAUCAUCGCCGGUGCGCCCUCGCACCCCCCGUCCUUUCCUUCGUCACGUUGGCUCGUUUUUGUUCCGUCUUCGUUUUUUUUUUUGUUGUUGUUUCUAUUAUAAGUGUUUCUUUUUGCCUGGCUCGCUUCCCGUUCGCUCUGUCCACCCGCGACCCGCACCGUAAAAACUCCGCCGUCUGCGCACAGACCAAGUCCCGUCCUUGAACACAGCGAAAGGGAAGCGGAAAUAAAAGAAUGCGGCAAUAUUUCGUUGCUCAUGAGAUCUCGAGAGCGAGCGAGCGAGAGAGGGGGUGAGAGGGGUGCUGCACAGAGUCGGAUACGCAACGGCGUUUUCAGCGACGCACUUGUGCCACAUACCGAGAGAGCAGGAGGUGACACAGGAGCGGCGCUCUUGCCGGCAAUGUUUCAGCAGCAAGGUGAGAGCAGCCGGUGCCUAGUUCACUUGCCUUCCCCCGGCGCUGCGCUCUUCGUCUUUCUUCGUUGUCUCUCGCCGUGCUUG
rnacentral:misc_RNA from 1 species